AUGAAAUUUUACCAUCAGGUUCAAUACCACAAAAGGAAGGUUGGGAUUGAUUUUGGGGGUUAUGGUACCAACAGUAAAGGAAUUAGGGGCCAAAAAGGGGCCAAAAAUAAGCAUUUUUGUAACUUCCAGACAUAACUUGUGUGUAAGUGUAUGGAUCUUUCUGAAAUUGUACUACAAGGUUCCAUAUCACAAAUGAAAAGCUGGAAUUGAAUUUGGGGGUAAUUGCCGAAACUCUUAGGAAUUGGGGGCCAAAAAGGGGCCAAAAAUAAGCAUUUUUCUAGUUUCCAGACAAUAACUUGUGUUCAAGUGUAUGGAUCUCUCUGAAAUUGUACUGCAAGGUACCAUACCACAAAGGGAAGGCUGGGAUUGAUGAUGGGGGUUAUUGCCUCAAUAUUUUAGGAAUUAGGGGCCAAAAAGGGGCAAAAACCAAGCAUUUUUAUAGUUUCAGGACAAUAACUUGUGUGUAAGUGUAUGGAUCUUUCUGAAAUUGUAGUACAAGGUUUCAUAUCACAAAGGGAAAGCUGGGAUUGAUUUUGGGGGUAAUUGCCUCAAAAUUUUAGGAAUUAGGGGCCAAAAAUAAGCAUUUUUCUAGUUUCCAGAAAAUAACUUGUGUUCAAGUGUAUGGAUCUCUCUGAAAUUGUACUGCAAGGUACCAUACAACAAAGGGAAGGCUGGGAUUGAUUUUGGGGGUAAUUGCCUCAAAAUUUUAGGAAUUAGGGGCCAAAAAGGGGCAAAAAACAAGCAUUUUUCUAGUUUCAGGACAAUAACUUGUGUGUAAGUGUAUGGAUCUUUAUGAAAUUGUACUACAAGGUUCCAUAUCACUAAGGGAAAGCUGGGUUUGAGUUUGGGGGUAGUUUCCCUAAACGUUUAGGAAUUUGGGGCCAAAAAGGGGCCAAAAAACAAGCAUUUUUCUAGUUUCCAGACAAUAACUUGUGUUCAAGUGUAUGGAUCUCUCUGAAAUUGUACUGCAAGGUACCGUACCACAAAGGGAAGGCUGGGAUUGAGUUUGGGGGUGAUGAAUCAUAAGGUGGUUCAAAAAAUUUG